GAAAUUUACACAUUCAGAAAUAAAUAACAAAUACUUUUUUUUCCCCUCCAAAUAAAACUCCAAAACAGCUUUUGUCCCAGUUUGUUUCUCCAUUUACUGGAUGCAUUUAUGGAAGGCACAUUACAGGUCUUUGUGGGAAGAAACAGAAAGAAAUCACAAAAGCAAUUAAGAGAGCUCAAAUAAUGGGGUUUAUGCCAGUUACAUACAAGGAUCCUGCAUAUCUCAAGGACCCUAAAGUUUGUAACAUCAGAUAUCGGGAAUAAAUUCUAUCACGUUACCACUAAUAAACUUAUUUUACAGU
rnacentral:sRNA from 1 species